GUCGCUUCUCGGCUCAUGGUUAAAUUCAAAGUGUACUAGUUGUUUUUAUCAGCUUAACAUCUGAUAGAUCCUACAUCGGAGGAUAAAAAAUUUUAAAUUGAUUUUUGGAAAUGGACGAAAUGUUUUAGGGUCUUGCUCUACCUUUUUCACCACCUUUGUUCUUUUUUUGUCCCGAUAAGCAGUACCACUGGGAAUUCGA